ACUGAGCGGCGGACGGGUGAGUAACGCGUGGGUAACCUGCCUCAUACAGGGGGAUAACAGUUAGAAAUGACUGCUAAUACCGCAUAAGACCACAGCACCGCAUGGUGCGGGGGUAAAAACUCCGGUGGUAUGAGAUGGACCAGCGUCUGAUUAGCUAGUUGGUAAGGUAACGGCUUACCAAGGCGACGAUCAGUAGCCGGCCUGAGAGGGUGAACGGCCACAUUGGGACUGAGACACGGCCCAAACUCC
rnacentral:rRNA from 1 species